rnacentral:rRNA from 1 species
UACGGAGGGUGCGAGCGUUGUCCGGAAUCACUGGGCGUAAAGGGCGCGUAGGUGGCGCAGGAAGUCAACGGUGAAAGUUCGGGGCUCAACCCUGAAUCGGCCGUCGAUACUCCCGGGCUCGAGCACUGUAGAGGCAGGAUGGAAUUCCGGGUGUAGCGGUGGAAUGCGUAGAGAUCCGGAAGAACACCGGUGGCGAAGGCGGUCUGCU